AUUUUUUUAUGAAUUUUUGGAAUGUUAAAAAUCCCCAUUGGUUUAUAAUGGGACACAUUUCAAAGUGCUAUAACUUGAAAACAGUUGAAGAUAUUGAUAUAAUUUCUGUUGGUAAUAGACAGGAAGUCACAUUUGGGCUUUCAUUUGAUAUUUUGACCUUUGACCUU